UGCUCCAGUUGAUCGCAUGGUCUUCUGGGAAAGCUUUCGCGGUAUGGGAUGGGGUCGCGUCCUAUCAGGUAGUCGGCGGGGUAACGGCCCACCGAGCCUACGACGGGUAGCCGGCCUGAGAGGGCGACCGGCCACAUUGGGACUGAGAUACGGCCCAGACUCCUACGGGAGGCAGCAGUGGGGAAUAUUGCACAAUGGGCGCAAGCCUGAUGCAGCGACGCCGCGUGCGGGAUGACGGCCUUCGGGUUGUAAACCGCUUUUGACUGGGAGCAAGCCCUUCGGGGUGAGUGUACCUUUCGAAUAAGCACCGGCUAACUACGUGCCAGCAGCCGCGGUAAUACGUAGGGUGCAAGCGUUAUCCGGAUUUAUUGGGCGUAAAGGGCUCGUAGGCGGUUCGUCGCGUCCGGUGUGAAAGUCCAUCGCUUAACGGUGGAUCCGCGCCGGGUACGGGCGGGCUUGAGUGCGGUAGGGGAGACUGGAAUUCCCGGUGUAACGGUGGAAUGUGUAGAUAUCGGGAAGAACACCAAUGGCGAAGGCAGGUCUCUGGGCCGUUACUGACGCUGAGGAGCGAAAGCGUGGGGAGCGAACAGGAUUAGAUACCCUGGUAGUCCACGCCGUAAACGGUGGAUGCUGGAUGUGGGGCCCUUUUUCCGGGUCCUGUGUCGGAGCUAACGCGUUAAGCAUCCCGCCUGGGGAGUACGGCCGCAAGGCUAAAACUCAAAGAAAUUGACGGGGGCCCGCACAAGCGGCGGAGCAUGCGGAUUAAUUCGAUGCAACGCGAAGAACCUUACCUGGGCUUGACAUGUGCCGGAUCGCCCCGGAAACGGGGUUUCCCUUCGGGGCCGGUUCACAGGUGGUGCAUGGUCGUCGUCAGCUCGUGUCGUGAGAUGUUGGGUUAAGUCCCGCAACGAGCGCAACCCUCGCCGCAUGUUGCCAGCGGGUUAUGCCGGGAACUCAUGUGGGACCGCCGGGGUCAACUCGGAGGAAGGUGGGGAUGACGUCAGAUCAUCAUGCCCCUUACGUCCAGGGCUUCACGCAUGCUACAAUGGCCGGUACAACGCGAUGCGACACGGUGACGUGGGGCGGAUCGCUGAAAACCGGUCUCAGUUCGGAUCGCAGUCUGCAACUCGACUGCGUGAAGGCGGAGUCGCUAGUAAUCGCGGAUCAGCAACGC
rnacentral:rRNA from 1 species